rnacentral:rRNA from 1 species
GACGAACGCUGGCGGCGCGCCUAACACAUGCAAGUCGAACGAGCGAGAGAGAGCUUGCUUUCUCAAGCGAGUGGCGAACGGGUGAGUAACGCGUGAGGAACCUGCCUCAAAGAGGGGGACAACAGUUGGAAACGACUGCUAAUACCGCAUAAGCCCACAGCUCGGCAUCGAGCAGAGGGAAAAGGAGUGAUCCGCUUUGAGAUGGCCUCGCGUCCGAUUAGCUAGUUGGUGAGGUAACGGCCCACCAAGGCAACGAUCGGUAGCCGGACUGAGAGGUUGAACGGCCACAUUGGGACUGAGACACGGCCCAAA